AGCCCGUAGUCUAGCGGUUAUGAUGCUUCCUUUACAGCUCAAUAUUGCACUGCAUCGGAAGAGGUCGCGCGUUCGAGCCGCGCCGGGACCUG
rnacentral:tRNA from 1 species